ACACUCUGGAGAAGGUCUGCCUCUGUGUGCGCUGCCCCGGUUGCAUGCGAGCAGAUGAAUUCCACAGCUGGAACUGAGGCACAGAGCAAUAAACACAGUGGAGCCCAUCUCUGCCGUGGUGAGAGGGGGCAUCAGAAGUGACAACAAUGACAAGGACCCAAGGACCGUCCUUCUGACAAGUUUCAGAUUCUUGGGCUGAUGGAGUAAGUGAGUGACGGAGUGGGUUGCCAACUGUAGUUACUCCACUCAGUGCGGAAUGGCUGCAGGGAAUAUAUUCUGAUGUGCCCAAAGAAGUCUGCCCAGGGUGAAACAAAUACCUUUGAGGUUUAAAUCAGAAAACAUAAACACAUUUCCCUUAUAGGAAGAAGUUGUAUUUAAAAGCCUCUGUUUAAUUUAUUCAGAAACUACACGAUUUUUGUUGCUAUAUUUUGUUAUAAAGGAAGAGAGGCUGUUUCUACAGGUGUCAUAGAAAAGUCGAUGCUGAGCCAUGGAUUAUUGGAUCUCAUAGAACCACGGAGACUUGGCAGUAAAAUCCUUCCAAAGCGUUGAAAAGCUAUACCUAAUGCGUUGGUUGUUUUACUGCAUUGCUUAGCAUUCCAUCCAUGCAGGCAGACGGUGUUCCUAGGUUUGGAAACGUACCUCCCAGGGGAAGUGAGCUGAGGAACAUUUUAUGCAUCAUUCAUCCGGUUAUGAGCCCUUGCUGCUCCAUCUCUGCACAAGAUGUUGAAACAACAGCAACAACAAAAAUUGUUUAUAAUGUGUAUUCUAACUUUGGAUCAUCUGGUUAACGCCCUGAUGCUAUUACCCAGAAAGACAAUGCUCUGUCAGAAAAAACCAUUAAAGCUCGCUGCUGCGUGAUUAGUAAAAUAAUAGGGAAAGUUCAGCAUUCUGGAUGUCCCAUCUAAUGAGUUGGCAGUUACAGAACAGAAACAGAGCAAUAAGACCGCAUGGUUACAUUUUCCCAGUGCCACCAACUGGGAGUUAAGCUGACUAACAUUUCGAAAGCCCAGCCCAUUUCAUUCACAGCAGGCAUGGCAGGUAAAAGCAUUUCUGUAUUAAAGUACACACUUUGUUUCUUCAAGUUCUUGGUCUAAUUUCUCUUGUUUGCCAGUUGAGGGGAGAAACAAAAGUAGAUUGGGGACCAAAUGCCUGGGGUAUUUAAUCAAACACCCAGCAACUGUUGAUUAUAGGAUGCAGAAAUUUCACUUUCGAGGAUUAACUAUGGUGGAUUUUGCCAAUCCAAAUGGGUAUCCCCUUCCACUCAGCAUGUUAUUGGGCUCCUUCCUACCACUGGCUAAAUAAGAUGUAGUGGGAGAAUUCCAAGUAGUUGUAAUAAUAACUCUCGGGUUAGCAGAAGCUGAAUGUGCAGGGUGAAAAUUCUCAUUAGAUGUAAGUAUUUGUGAAGGUCCUCAAACAGUACAUUUUAGCAUGUUAUUGUUUGCUUCUAUUAGAGCACGUAAUUGAGAAUUGAUUUCACUGUGUUCUGUUAAUUUGAUUACUGUUUUCUAAGUGGUAAGUAUAAACUCCUUAAAUAUUUUAUGAAGCUCACUUCAUCAAGCCAAGCCCCUAGUGCCCAUCACUAGCACAUCACUGUAUUGAUCCCUGACCUUUUGACCUGUCACUCUGCCACGCGGGAUGCCUUUCUCUCUCGUCCUUGCAGAGGAGAGCUUAGGGAGCAGGAGUGAGGAAAGGCGUUAGUCUUUCUCCCUGAGUAAACUCGGGCUGUGGAAUUAUCAGAAGGGAUUUCCUUGCCAGCGGUGAAGUUGGGUUGGAUAACAUCAUUUUGCAUCUAUGCUGAAUAUAUUUUGGAGGAAGCCUGAGAGCACUAUGUGAGAGUCAUCUAGGAGGGAUGAAUGUAAUACACCUUUCAGGUGGGAAGAUGCAAGUUCUGAGAUGCAUGCAGUUAUUGUAAUAGUAGCUCAUUUUAUGAAUAAAUAAGAAAAUUCCUCAGCUGGUGCGCCCAUGCCAUAUAUUAAAACAAAUUUUACAAACCCUCUUCUUUGACUAGAGUUAGAGCCUUCACAUGCACCCUAUUAAAAUGUAGGAUAACCCUAGUUUGUUUUGUUUCAUGUUCUAUGACCAUCCCAUGGCUAUUUCUUAUCAGACUGGAUCAAAAGUUAAUAGAGGGUAUAGUGGAAAAAUAACUGUUCUUUAAAAUGUUAGCAGUGAAUAAAUAAAUAAAUGUGUGCGUAUACACACGCGCGCACACACAUUCAUGAUUAAAGGCCAGUGGAUGCCCACACCCUGACUGCAUCUGAAGUCUUUUCAAGAGUGUGAGAUUUUUUUUUUCUAUUUUAGCCAUUAGAUGCUUUGGCCAGUUUGGCCUCAAAAAAUUUUUGUGUUCAUAAACAUAACUUGGGAUCCAUGAAGAAUCUCUGAUACUUACUUAUUUUUAAAGAAACAUUCAGGAUCAAUAAGUUCAAAAUAUUUCACAGUUACCAGAGUAGGUCUUUCCUUGACUAAAGCGACACAGCCAUGGUGUAACCGGAUUCUCUGGGACGCGUGACCCAGCGCACCGCUGGCGCACUUCACUGGAUGAAGCGGUCUCCUGCUUGUCGGAUAGCGUGAGACCUCCCAUUUGUUUCGACAGUGCUUUCUGCUUUUCAAACCCUUUCCCAAGACAGUCAUGGUUAGAGGCCAAGGGUAGAAUAAGGGGGAAUAAGGGUGAUUUUUGUGUGUUUCUUUUUCUUACAUGGUAGAUGAAAAAUGCUAGAGAAUGAAAUGUCUUUCUUUAGCUUUGGGUCAAAUUACUGCAUGAAAUAUGAAUCACAACGUAAUUGUCACGGUGAAGAGAGAGGGAAAGAGGCAUUUACCCUUCAGCUACUGUGAUUCUUGGGGCCACUGUGCUGUCUGCUAUUGAGCUAAGAGGCAACUCACAGCAUUUCUCUCUAACAUAACAUGAAGGUAGCACUUCCCUUAAACAGAUUCAUUUUUAAACGUGAACAUCUGUGGUCCAUGAUCCAGGUUAAGUACGUGCACGUACGUAUUCAUAUGUAUAUGCUUGUCCAGACUUUUCAGCCAAGCAAUAAAAAUGGUGGAGGGGAGAGAACAGAGAUUCUUUAAGGGUCUAAGGGUUGGGGUGGGGGGUGUUACCUUAAACAGAAGCCAAAGCAAGCGCAUUUUUAAUUUGAAGCUUUGGGUUUUAGCUUAAAACUUCACUCACAUUUUACUUUCUGUUCUAUUAUAUAUUAUAAUUGUUCUACUAUUUUAGAAAAUUUUAAUUUGCUUACCUUUGAGUAAAUCUGCUAUUUGAGAAGACUGCAAUAUUUACCCUGUCAUGACUCAUUCAGAGAACAUUUAUUGAGCUUCUACUAUGUGCCAAGCACUAUUUUCCUCCCCUCCCCCAACACUCUCAGGUAUUCUAGAUACUCCUAUUCAAGUCUGAAAAGCACAGAAUAGAGGUAUACACAUUUGUGAGACAGAUGAAUAGAUAGGUGAAUUGUAAAUUACCACAAUUACCUAAAACUGUGCACAUUUUUCUACGAAGGGAUUUUAGAUAAUCAUUGUCAGAAUUUAGCAGAAAGCCCCAGGAAGUCUCUAGGUUUUUGUUGAAUUUAAAGCAAUUCCUUCAUACUUUAGAAGGUUACAUUUUCAUUGUCUGUUUUUCAGAGAUAAAGUUCUUUCUUUUCCAUUUCUGCUUUGACACGUGUUUCACGUUUUAUAUCCUUUCAAGUUUUAUAUCCUUCCUCUUUCACUCUUUCCCUCCUGUUUCCCAUCUUUCCUGAAGUUGAAGUGCUGCAUUGUUUUCCUUCUUAAUCCGACUUUUGUGAACUUGGUGUAUACAAGUACAAUCUCCUGGCGUAUAUAAUCCAGGAGAUUAAAAGGAAAGGAAUUGUACCCAUCCCUAUUUGGUUACUGUAAAGAUUAAAUGGAAUAAUGAGUGUAAAGCACAACGCUUGGUAGAUGGUCAGAGGUCAAGAAAUACGAAAUGGUCUUCAGUAUUGCUUGUUAUUACUUAGUAUUUAGUAAAUUAUUAUUAUUUAGCAUUAUUUAUUGCAUGUCAAUGCAGAUACAUGCAUACCCGGUAGAUGCAGUUUUCUAUGUCAUGCAUCAUUCCAAGAAUGAUGGCUAAUCUUAGGCACAGUUGUGAAAAGUCAGUAUCUGCCUUCGGCAUUGCCAGCUUUGACUGAGAAGGAGCUCCUUCCUCCCUUUGAGUGCCUCGUGCCCUGCCCCUCUUCUUCCCUUUACUGAUAAAACCUCCUUUCAAAUAAGGACCUGAAAUUUAUCCACACAAAGGUCUAGAUGACUGAGACCAUUUGAGGUGUUGUCCUUGUAAAGGUCACGGACCUCUUAUCAAAGAUCAAAUACCGAGCGGAUGAGAUUUCAGGCUUCUGACCAUAGCAGCUGGAUGUUUGACAGUGUGAUUGCUCCCUCGCCUUCUGGAGAUCUCCCCAGAGUGGGAAUGGUUAGCUGGGCCAAGGGGUAAGGUUAGUUCUGCUACUGAAGAAGGCGCCUGCCGGGGCUCUCCUGGAGGGUGUCGGACAUCCUCAAAGGCUGCCUUUCUCUCAGCCUGGGGCUGUUUAGGAAUGUCUGUCAGCCAUUCUUUUUUUUUUUUUUUUUUUUCAUUUGUGUCGAUGGGUUUUGAAUCUAGUUAUGACUUAGCCACAAGCAGUAGUCCUUUGAACAUUUUUUUCUUAAUACUCUUCUUUAUCUUGGGAUAUACAUCCAUUUUUCUUCUACCUACAUCCCAUCCAUAUAUUCCUUCUUGGUUGUCCAUUGUGUUUCUUUCACAAAGACCUGUAUUCAUGAUUUAAAGUUUUCACACAUCAAACUAUUAUUCUGAGACAUUCUCCUGAAAUAGUCUUUUUUUUUUUUCUUUUAAUGUAACGCCACUUUAUCUGUGUAUUCUGUGCCCAGGUUUGAGGAUUUGAAGGGCUGAGUUCAUGUUUAAGGUAUGCCUUCACCAGCAACGUAAGGUUGGAAAACCACUCCCUUUCUCAGCUUUAGUUGGUCAAUGAAAGGGGCAGAGAAGGCUCUGCCGUGGUGUUGUAAGAAUCAAAUGAAAGAGUUUUGUAAACUCAAAAGUGAAGUAGAAGCUUUGUGGUCUUCUUUUCACCCAUUAUGACUACCUCCUC
rnacentral:lncRNA from 1 species